rnacentral:rRNA from 1 species
UACAGAGGGUGCGAGCGUUGUCCGGAAUUAUUGGGCGUAAAGGGCUCGUAGGCGGCCAACUAAGUCAGACGUGAAAUCCCUCGGCUUAACCGGGGAACUGCGUCUGAUACUGGAUGGCUUGAGUUCGGGAGAGGGAUGCGGAAUUCCAGGUGUAGCGGUGAAAUGCGUAGAUAUCUGGAGGAACACCGGUGGCGAAGGCGGCAUCCUGGACCGACACUGACGCUGAGGAGCGAAAGCCAGGGGAGCAAACGGG